rnacentral:rRNA from 1 species
UAAUAUAAGAGUUUGAUCCUGGCUCAGGAUGAACGCUGGCGGCGUGCUUAACACAUGCAAGUCGAGCGAAGUUGUGUUAACGGAGGGCUUCGGCCUAAAGAUGAUACAACUUAGCGGCGGACGGGUGAGUAACGUGUGGGUAACCUGCCAUAUACAGGGGAAUAAUCACUGGAAACGGUGACUAAUACCGCAUGUCACCGCGGGAGGGCAUCCUCCUGCGGGAAAAGGAGCAAUCCGGUAUAUGAUGGACCCGCAUCUGAUUAGCUAGUUGGUGAGAUAACAGCCCACCAAGGCGACGAUCAGUAGCCGACCUGAGAGGGUGAUCGGCCACAUUGGGACUGAGACACGGCCCAAACUCCUACGGGAGGCAGCAGUGGGGAAUAUUGCACAAUGGGGGAAACCCUGAUGCAGCAACGCCGCGUGAAGGAAGAAGGCUUUCGGGUCGUAAACUUCUAUCAAUAGGGACGAAGAAAGUGACGGUACCUAAAUAAGAAGCCCCGGCUAACUACGUGCCAGCAGCCGCGGUAAUACGUAGGGGGCAAGCGUUAUCCGGAAUUACUGGGUGUAAAGGGAGCGUAGGCGGCAUGGUAAGCCAGAUGUGAAAGCCCGGGGCUUAACUCCGAGGAUUGCAUUUGGAACUAUCAAGCUAGAGUACAGGAGAGGAAAGCGGAAUUCCUAGUGUAGCGGUGAAAUGCGUAGAUAUUAGGAAGAACACCAGUGGCGAAGGCGGCUUUCUGGACUGAAACUGACGCUGAGGCUCGAAAGCGUGGGGAGCAAACAGGAUUAGAUACCCUGGUAGUCCACGCUGUAAACGAUGAGCGCUAGGUGUCGGAGGGGAACCUUCGGUGCCGCAGUAAACACAAUAAGCGCUCCACCUGGGGAGUACGACCGCAAGGUUGAAACUCAAAGGAAUUGACGGGGGCCCGCACAAGCGGUGGAGCAUGUGGUUUAAUUCGAAGCAACGCGAAGAACC